rnacentral:lncRNA from 1 species
AGCGUCGUCAAAGCGUUUGAAAACAGAAGAGAUGGUUUGGACAAGGAGAAAGGACAGAACAUGGGCGAGUCUCUCAUGGAAAGAUCUCGUCUUGGGUGGAGAGUCAAGUGACGCUUGGCCCCCCCGGUUCCUGAAGGCGCGGUGAGGCGACAAACUGUCGCUCGUUUGUCCCUCGAUUCUAAUCCAUGGGCUGUGCACAAAGCGUGGCAGAAGGGCCAUUCAGACACACAGAUCGUCUCGCAGAGAACAGAUUUCGCCAAAGGCUGACCACGCCUUCGAAGGCACAUCACCGGAGAGACUCGCAAACGAAACCUUGCGAACGCCUUUGACAGUUGACGUCAGACCAUUUCAACGGUUUGCUCCACCUGUCUGCUUUUUUGCGUGGACCAUUGGAAAAGGGAAGGUGUUUCGGUCACUCUUGUGGAUUGCUCGUUUUGCACCGACAGAGUUCUGUCUUUAAAAGUGCCUGGCUAGGUCGCGCAAAACCUUGUCGUGUGCAAGUGACACGGGAACUGACAGGCAUUCACUGGAAGAUCGGACUUCUCAAUGCAGUUUUCCUGGCUGAUAACAGUUGCUUUUUUGAGAGAAAACCACGCACACGGGAAACUCGAAAGGUUCGCCGGCAAGGCAGUCGCAGCCGCACUGGCCAUGGAGGACGCACGGGGAGAGGUACAGUUUGCCGCCUAACCAUGUACGUCCCUAAGCAAUUCCAAGAAGCAGGUAUUCGAGAGAAAGAACUUCGAGGGGAAGAUGCAUUUUCUGCAACGCGAGAACCCCCGCUGCACUGCAGAAUGACUCGGAGCGCCGUUUGCGAGCGUGCUUUUGUGGCAAGAAUGUGUGCAUUGCUUCUUGGUAGACGGACACGAAUUUUCUGUCCAAUCCUUUGCUCCUAGAAACGUGUGGACGUCCUGACUCUAUUCUCGCAAACCAAUUGAUCGGGGUACGACGAUGCGUCUAGCAGCAAAUUUGUGUGUCGGAUAGUGUGGCGCGAGCAUUGCGCGGCGCAGUCGAAGCAGUCAUGGGGUUUUCCAUUCUAUUUGGUCUACGCAAGGAAACUUCGUUUUCGCCUGCGUCGAGAAAACUGCAGUGAGCGCUGG